CCCAAAAUCCGCUCCUAGACCAGGUGAGAUACCCCAAUGUCCCCAAUGUCCCCAAUGUCCCCAAUGUCCCGCAGGGAGGUUUUGGGGCACCCCGAUGUGGGGGCGCUGCUGCGGGCGCAGGAAUUGGGGCCCCUCCUGCCCCCCGACACCCAGAGGGACCUGGAGAGAUCCUGCAUCGCUGCGGUCAAGGCCAAGGUGGAGGUGGCCGUGGCGCAGGAGCUGCAGCUCAGCGAGGACAGGUGGCCCGAGGAUGUCACCAGCCAGGACAUGGAGGACGGGCUGGCCACGCGUGUCACCGGGCUGCUGCGGGCGCACGUGGACCGAGCCCCCCAGGUGACCCCCGAGUUCGGCCGGGAGAUGGCGCACAGCCUGCUGGGAGUGCUGGUGGCCUUCCUGCACAGGUGGGACACCUGGGGACACCUGGGGACACCUGGGGACACCUGGGGACACCUUGGGGACACCUGGGGACACUGGGAUGUGACACAGGUGGGGACACCUGGGGACACCCUGGGGACACCUGGGGACACCCUGGGGACACCCCGGGGGACAUGUGGACACUGGGAUGUGACACAGGAUGGACAUGGGGACACCCUGGGGGACACCUUGGGGACACCCCGGGGACACCUGGGGACACCUGGGGACACCUGGGGACACCCUGGGGACACCCUGGGGACACUGGGAUGUGACACAGGUGGGACACCUGGGGACACCUGGGGACACCUUGGGGACACCUGCCUUGGGGACAC
rnacentral:lncRNA from 14 species